GACGAACGCUGGCGGCGUGCUUAACACAUGCAAGUCGAACGGAAAGGCCCCGCUUUUGUGGGGUGCUCGAGUGGCGAACGGGUGAGUAACACGUGAGUAACCUGCCCUUGACUUUGGGAUAACUUCAGGAAACUGGGGCUAAUACCGGAUAGGAGCUCCUGCUGCAUGGUGGGGGUUGGAAAGUUUCGGCGGUUGGGGAUGGACUCGCGGCUUAUCAGCUUGUUGGUGGGGUAGUGGCUUACCAAGGCUUUGACGGGUAGCCGGUCUGAGAGGGUGACCGGCCACAUUGGGACUGAGAUACGGCCCAGACUCCUACGGGAGGCAGCAGUGGGGAAUAUUGCACAAUGGGCGGAAGCCUGAUGCAGCAACGCCGCGUGCGGGAUGACGGCCUUCGGGUUGUAAACCGCUUUCGCCUGUGACGAAGCGUGAGUGACGGUAAUGGGUAAAGAAGCACCGGCUAACUACGUG
rnacentral:rRNA from 1 species